rnacentral:rRNA from 1 species
UGGGGAAUAUUGGACAAUGGGCGAAAGCCUGAUCCAGCCAUGCCGCGUGUGUGAAGAAGGUCUUCGGAUCGUAAAGCACUUUAAGUAGGGAGGAAGGGCAGUAAGCGAAUACCUUGCUGUUUUGACGUUACCGACAGAAUAAGCACCGGCUAACUCUGUGCCAGCAGCCGCGGUAAUACAGAGGGUGCAAGCGUUAAUCGGAAUUACUGGGCGUAAAGCGCGCGUAGGUGGUUCGUUAAGUUGAAUGUGAAAGCCCCGGGCUCAACCUGGGAACUGCAUCCAAAACUGGCGAGCUAGAGUAGGGCAGAGGGUGGUGGAAUUUCCUGUGUAGCGGUGAAAUGCGUAGAUAUAGGAAGGAACACCAGUGGCGAAGGCGACCACCUGGGCUCAUACUGACACUGAGGUGCGAAAGCGUGGGGAGCAAACAGG